rnacentral:misc_RNA from 1 species
AAGGAUCAUUGUCGAAUCCUGCUCGAACGACCGCGAACAAGUUAACAAAAAACGCGGGACGCCGGGUGGACGGGGAAACCACGUCCAUGCCUCCGGCCCCCGCACCAAAACCUAACUCUCGGCGCGGAAAGCGCCAAGGACUACUCAAACGGAUCGCCCCCUUCCCCCGCGGAUUCCGCGGCGGGUCGGGCCGGCAUCUGAAACGUAACCAAUACGACUCUCGGCAACGGAUAUCUAGGCUCUC